ACAUGGAGGAAAUGGGCUCUGGUUUUGCUGUCUCUGAGAGGAGGCAGCAUCUGGGGGGUGGUGGCCGGCAGGCAGACACUGCUCUGCUGCCGUGGGGCUCUGGGAGCAAACAGAGCAUUUCUAGGCACCAGUGGAGGGGAGAGACUCAUGGAAGAUCUGGGGCUCCCUGCAGCCCCAGGCUGUCCCCCCAGAAUUCCACCUCCUGAGAAGGUUUGCAGGAGUACAGGGGCCCCUGGCACCUGUGACCCUCUGCCUGCUAGCAGAGUGGGAAUAGCCUGAGGACCUCCCUGUGCCAGGACAUCUUUCCUUGGACACCAAGCACACAGGGCUGUGCAGUGGUGUAAGACUUCGUCACUGUGGAGGGGUCCUGGGGAGCUGCAAGGGGAGCAGAUGGGUCUCAGCUCCAGAUCCAGCAGUGUGGGGCGGUGUCAGGGCACAAAAAGGAGCCCAGGAGUUGUGCUGGUGUCUGCACCCCCCAGCCCUUAUCGCAGCCCGCAGCAGGGUGGCCGUGGUGGGGAUGAUAAAGGAAUGUGUGGGCUUUCCUCCAGCCGUGGGUGUGGUGGGAGACUGGGCAACAGAUAAUCCCAGGAGGCAACGACCUGCCAGGUGCUGAGUAAGGGCUGGGAGGUCCUUAGUGAGGAGGGAAAGGUUCAAGGAAGGCCCAGGGUGGCUCACAAAGCCAGCCAAGGUUGCCACAGGCUCCUUUGAUCCUUGGCACUGGCAAGGAUGGACUCUUCCCUGGUGCCAUGGCCCCCAGGCACUGUCAGUGAAUGCACAGAGACAGGAGAAAUUCCAGUAACUCCAAAGGGAGAAGGAGGCCCUUCAGGGUCUCUUCUGCAAAGCACUGCAGGUGUCAUGAGCCCACGCACACGCUGUUCUGAGGCACAGUGAGGAAGGGAGGAGAAAGCCAGUCAGGGCACCACUGGCCAAUCUCAUCUACCUUUGUAUGGAGCAGGCAUUGUAGCAGGUUCCACCCUUCCAGCCAGGAACAUCACCCAGGCAGAGCUAUAGGCACAACUUCCUGGGGAUCUCAUAGAGAACCAGGAUAUGGUGGGGAUUCAGGACAUACAGGUGUGCAAGGAGGUGUGAACUGGUGUGGAAAGCAUUGGGAAGAACCAGCAUCAAAUCCAACAACGACGUGGACUCCUCCAAACCCAGCCACAGGAGGAGAUGCCAUCUGGGGAGGGCCCAGCUUUGGUUGUGUUCCUCCAGCUCCCACACAAGCAGUAAUAGCAAUUCCAGAGGCUACAUUCCUGCUUGUUACCUUCAGCAUGCGCCUGUUGACCUGCUGCUGCUCAUGAAUUUGCUCUACCUUUUAUAAACCUGCUGAUCCUAUUUGUUUUCACAACCUGCUGUGGCAGUGAGUUCCAGAAGUUCAUUCUCCCACCUGCUCCAAAUAAAGUCCUUUUUAUUCAUUUUAAA